ensembl:lncRNA
GGUAGGGCCAGACUGGAGCUGAAAAAAUCACUUCUGAGAAAUUGUUGCUUUCUCAUCAUUGGCAUCUCCAGUGCCUUUUUGUUCUUUCUAAUUCCUGUACAGGGAUUUCUGAGAUGCCAGGUUGCUGAGUUACCCCUACUUCCUUGUAGCAUUCAAUACAAAACUAGUUGCUAUUUCUCUAGUCCUUCCUCAGAAUCACACGAGUCCUUUAACAGACCCCUCCAACAUUCUGUUACCAAGGCACCACGUGCUCUCCCUAUUGCAGCAAGUUCAAUAAACCUACAUCUGCUUAACUACAUCUAUGCUCCUGGAGGUCUUUGACUGGUGGACUUAUACAACAGUUCUUGAGGUCAUCCAUGAACUAUGCGGAAAUGGAACAAAGCCAGAAUCCUGGAGAACUUCAAUAUUUAAGAAGCAGGAAGAAAAAAAACAGCUAGGAAAGAAUUCAGAGAACAAAAAAGUCAAGUGGCAGAAGAACUAGAUCUACACAUGGCGAGCGUUAAGCAGAGGGCCACUGGGACCCGGUUGGACCAGCUGAGGACAGCUGGGGUCAGAAGGAAGGGAAGAGGUCCACGUGGGAUGACAUGUGCUUGGUAUUAGAUACUGCAGGAAGGAACCAGUUACAAUUCAGAAAGGAAACCCCUGACAACAGAGACGGAGACACACUGCCCGAGGACAGACAGCUAGCAAGUCAAAGGGCGAGAUUCAAGCCGUGAUGGCCAGUUCCAGACAGAAGUGUUUAACCACUGCCCAUUCUCAGACAGAGCAAGGCUCCAUCUGCCAAAUUACACGGGGAAUAGGCAACUCAGGUGGCUGAAUUUGGUCCAAGACUUGCUUGCAUUGUAAGGCAUCACCGAGAAGCGAGGUUUCGGAGGAAACUGCUUUCCUCACACACCUCUGAUCAUUGGAAACCAUGAAUACUCAACAAGAAGAAGCUGAUCGCUGUGAACUGGCAAAUUAGCCUAGGUCAGGUCACAAGAAUGGGCAUCUUUAAAGUUUGCUUUAUUGUGUCAAUAUCCCCUUCAGUGCUAUUAAAUACCAAGGAAAAAAUGAAACGCAACGAAAAUGAAGCUUGUCGUUUCC